GCCUGCGGCCGGCUGGGGCACACCUGGGGUCACCGCGCUGAGGGCCCCCCAGCCGCGCCUGGCACCCGGGCGUCUCGCUGAGUCGGAGCAGCCCCAGGGAGAGGCUUUCAGGCUCUGGUCAAGACUCGGGCCCCGGGAAGCUGUCCCUGCCCUCCGGGGCUCGCUCCGAGAGUGGGGCUGGCAGGUAACGCGGGGCAGGGGUCUCCUGGCCGUCAGUGGUCAGGAAGACGCAGCGACCCUGGAAACCCAUGCCCCCUCUGUACGGAUGACAGGUCUGAAGGUCAGAGGUUAAACUGCACGCUAAAGGCGGCAGAGCCAGGUGGAUGCCAGCCUAGGGAGCCUCCCUCUUCAGCCCAGGCUGCCCCCCGGCAAAGCCACAUCACCAGGUCAUUGCCAGAUGAACGAGGUGCUGUCGAGCUGAGAUUCGGGAGGAGCAGGAUUCAGCUGGGCAAACACUCAUUCAUUCAAUGUCAUUCGACAAAUAUUUAUUGAGCACCUACUGUGUGCCAGGUAGUCACUAAGAUGCGGGGACACCACUGUGAACAGCAGAGAGGAAGCGGCUGCCCACCAGAGCUUACUUUCUAGCAAGGGGAAGUGUCUUCUGGGUGGCAAGAUGGCUGCCUCUUCCCAAACAUCUCAUCACUAUUCUGGUCAAGAAGGGGAAGAACAAAAUGCAUACCCACACUAGCCACUAAUUAUUAUCUCCAAUGAACAGACCAAGAGAUAGAGCCCUGGAAAUUCGAAGUCACCAGCCCACCGUCACCCAGCAGAGAUGGCUGAUGAGCCCAGACCGCCAGGCUCCAGGGACUGUGCCGUCUCUAGGCAACCGCAAAAAUUACCACCCACAGAGAUGGUGAACCCUGCCAUUGUCACCAGCUUACCUGCCGCAGGCAGGAAGGGGAUGUGCAAACAUGGAAGCGUUGCCAUUGGAAGGAGGGGUGGAGCCCGUGACCAUUACUGAUGUUUAAAACUAUCGUUUAAAUUAUACUUUGGAUGUUUUUAUGUAAAGGAGGUACACCAAGGGGUUAGCAGGUGGUUUACUCUGAAAAGGACUCCCGUAGAGCAGCUGCUCUGAAUUUUCUAAUUUCACCAUAGUGGUGAUGUAUCACGUAUUCUUGUGUGAUUCGAAAAUAUUAAAAGGCAUAUAAUUAAUGUAGAAGAUGAGCCUUCGCGGAGAGACCCCUCUUGCCGGCU